AUGAAAACCCACCUCUCGAAUCCUGUUGAUUCCAUUCAACUCCUAAAGCCCUUAUACCCCUCUAAAACCCUUCUCACCCAGUACCCACAUUUCUUAUCCUUUUGCGCACCUUGUAAAACCCAUGUAUAUAGAACCAAAUUACGCAUCAAGAAUCUGCCAGUCCUAAUUGACCAGAGGAAGCUCAGAAUUAGUGCCUUUAGAGCUUCGGGGUCGGACUCAGUUAUAGGAUCCACCAAGGCAGAGGAAGACGACGAGUCCGCUCAGCUAUUCGAGAAAUUGAAGGAUGCAGAGAGGCAACGGAUAAAUAAGUUGGAAGAGCUUGAGAACAAGGCCAAUAUGCAGCUAGAGAGGCAGCUUGUCAUGGCCUCGUAUUGGAGCAGGGCGUUGUUGAGUAUUCGCGGAAAGUUGAAAGGAACAGAGUGGGAUCCUGAGAACUCACACAGGAUUGAAUUUAGUGAUUUCUGGAGACUUCUGAACUCAAACAAUGUCCAGUUCUUGGAGUACUCAAAUUAUGGUCAAACAAUAUCAGUGAUCCUGCCAUACUACAGAGACGGAAAAAUGGAAGGAAUAGAUGGGAAUUCAAAGAAAGAUAUUAUUUUUCGGCGUCAUGCGGUGGACCGUAUGCCAAUUGAUUGUUGGAAUGAUGUUUGGCACAAGUUGCAUCAGCAAAUAGUAAAUGUUGAUGUUUUUAAUCUGAACUUGGUACCAGCGGAAGUGUACUCAACUGUUGCAACCACAGUCAUAUGGUCCAUGCGGCUUGCCCUAUCUAUUGUCUUAUAUCUCUGGAUUGAUAGCAUAAUGAGGCCGAUUUAUGCAAAGUUAAUACCCUGUGAUUUGGGAACUCCCAGCAAAAGUACCAGGCUGCCGCUUGAGCGUCGUGCACUUGGAUCAUUGGGCAAGAGUCGGGCAAAAUUUAUAUCAGCAGAAGAGACUACAGGUGUUACAUUUGAUGAUUUUGCUGGCCAGGAAUAUAUAAAAAGGGAACUACAGGAGAUUGUACGGAUUUUAAAAAAUGAUGAAGAGUUCCAAGACAAAGGGAUCUAUAGCCCAAAGGGCGUACUUCUUCAUGGCCCUCCUGGAACCGGUAAAACAUUGUUGGCUAAAGCUAUUGCUGGUGAAGCAGGACUUCCUUUCUUUGCAGCAAAUGGCACUGAUUUUGUUGAGAUGUUUGUUGGUGUGGCAGCAUCUCGUGUUAAGGAUCUUUUUGCUAGUGCCAGAUCAUUUGCACCUUCCAUUAUUUUUAUUGAUGAGAUAGAUGCUAUUGGUAGCAAGCGUGGUGGACCUGAUAUUGGUGGGGGUGGUGCAGAAAGGGAACAGGGCCUGCUUCAGAUACUGACUGAGUUGGAUGGAUUUAAAGUUUCCACAUCACAAGUGCUGGUCAUAGGUGCAACGAAUAGAUUGGAUAUUCUUGAUCCUGCUCUCUUGAGGAAGGGUCGUUUUGACAAGAUCAUAAGAGUUGGUUUGCCAUCAAAAGAUGGUAGGCUUGCCAUAUUAAAGGUGCAUGCUAGAAAUAAGUAUUUUCGUUCUGAGGGAGAAAAGGAAGCUCUCCUUCAGGAGAUUGCAGAUCUUACAGAUGAUUUUACUGGGGCAGAGUUGCAGAAUAUACUGAAUGAAGCUGGAAUAUUGACUGCCCGUAAGGAUUUAGAUUACAUUGGACAAGAAGAGCUGCUAGAGGCUUUGAAAAGGCAAAAGGGCACAUUUGAAACAGGCCAAGAAGAUAGUAGAGAAAUUCCAGAGGAAUUAAAACUGAGAUUGGCGUACAGAGAAGCAGCAGUUGCUGUUCUUGCAUGCUACUUCCCAGAUUCCUAUCGGCCUUUCACUGAGACAGAUAUAAAAUCCAUUCGUAGCCAGCCAAAUAUGCAGUAUGCUGAAAUUUCAGGAAGAGUUUUCUUAAGAAAAUUAGAUUAUGUGAACUCAAUUGUGCGUGCAUGUGCUCCAAGAGUAAUUGAGGAGGAGAUGUUUGGGGUUGACAAUGUGUGUUGGAUCUCUGGAAAGGCUACAUUAGAGGCUUCAAAGCGCACGGAAUUCUUGAUUCUACAGACAGGAAUGACAGCAUUUGGGAAAGCAUACUACAGGAAUCAAGGUGAUCUUGUGCCAAAUCUUGCUGCCAAACUUGAAGCACUUAGAGAUGAAUACAUGCGUUACGCUGUGGAAAAAUGCUCAUCAGUCUUGAGAGAAUACCAUUCAGCCGUAGAGACAAUCACAGAUGUUUUACUUGAGAAGGGAGAGAUUAAAGCUGGAGAAAUUUGGGACAUAUAUAAUAGGGCUCCACGAAUACCGCAGCCAGCUGUAAAUCCGGCUGAUGAAUAUGGAGCCCUAAUUUAUGCUGGACGAUGGGGAAUCCAUGGGAUUACACUGCCUGGAAGGGUUACAUUUGCACCUGGAAAUGUUGGAUAUUCAACUUUUGGUGCUCCCCGCCCAAUGGAGACCCAAGUCAUUAGUGAUGAAACUUGGAAGCUAAUAGAUGGUAUCUGGGAUAAAAGGGUUGAGGAAAUAAGAGCUGAAGCCUCAAUGGAUGUCGAAGAAGACGAAGAAAACCCACAACUUUUGAUGGCUAGCCAUUUCCUUUGAAAGUAAACAAUUUUUUCCUGGUUGCCAACCUCUUUCGUGCACAGGGGGUGACCAGCCUACAUCACUCCAACCCAGAGAGUGAAUGAGUGUUUGGCUGGUGUCUGUUAUUCAAUAAGGGUAUGGCUAAUUUUCUUUAGAUAUGACAAGGUCUUGAAGAUUGAUUCAUCCUCAGAGAUUCGGGCCAGAGGUGUGGUGCAACCAAGUGGUUGAGUUCCUUAAAAAAUAGUCACUUUUGUUAUUCAUCAUAUUAUAUAACUGCACUCCUCUGUCAUCCAUGAUUUUUUCCUUUUACUCUUCUAUUUUUCUUUGUUGGGGGGUGCACAAGAUUUUCAUUUAUUAUUAAUCUUUUUUCUGAUUUUGAAGCCAAUUAGUUUAUGGCGAUAUCAAUUGACACCAAUUCCAGUAACUCCUAAAUCAGGCGGUCUGUUACAUACACAUGUAUCCUUUUAUGUUUUGCAUAUACUUUCCCAUUUCUAACCA